AUUUAAAUAAUUUAAAUAAAAUAUUGAUUUGUGGAGUCAAAUAUGUGAAUUAAUUAUCACUUUAAAUU
rnacentral:tRNA from 1 species